rnacentral:siRNA from 1 species
AAAAUAAAAUGUGACCUAAAUUGUAA